GAGAGAGAGAGAGAGAGAGAGAAAGACUCUAAGUUUUAGAGAAGGGGAUAACCUGUACUGGAAGAAGAAAUUCUUCACUGGGAAAUCCCUACACUGGAACAAUCACAUGACUAGUCAAAAUAAUAUGAUUUAAUGUAAAUCUAGUUUUAAAGUUCUAUUGAUGACUUUUGAUUUUACACUACAGUCAUUUCCCAAUAUCCUCCUCCCACCCCUCCCUCUACCAUUAAACCCUCCUUUGAUACAAAGCAAAUGUCUUUUCCUGCUUUCUCUCCUCACUGAACUUCACCCUGUGAUAAAGCAUGACAUGAGCUUCUCUGGGCACGCCUAGUUCUUCUAAAAUUGAACUCAGUGCAUCACAUGAAUGGGAAGAGCCUCCUUUGAUUGGCUACAUCUUUCAAACUGAUGAGACUGAGCCAUUUGUCCUCUCUUUUGGCUGUGUUCUUUUUGUCCCGUUAUCUACUGUGUCCAGAGGGUAAAGAUCACAGUUUACCCACAACAAAGAUAUACUGUGAGGUGAGAGGGGAGGUACUUUCCUUCCCUUGCUCCCUCUUUUUUGCCCUAGUUCCAAGAAAUUAUCCUGGAGGGUUUUAUUUCUGUUCUGUAUUGUUUGACUUUCUUGGUUUCAGAUGUCAGAGGUGAUCCCCACGGGACCAGGAGUUUGAGCCAUGGCUUAAUCUUGGAGCCAGGAUUCUAGGCAGGAUGAUGCAGCCAGCCAGUCCAGCAUGGAAACCCUUGGAAGCUAGAGUACCUGGUGGCAAUACGGUAUAGUGGAAAGAACUCUGGCUUUAGAUUCAUUCAGAAGGCCUUCCAUGAUACAGCAGUGGCCAUUCUAUGGAGAAUUCCUGUGGAUACAUACAGAAAUACAUGAGCUCAGCAUGGAAGGACUUGGAACUUUGGGACGACAGAGCAAACCCCGGAGGGAUCCUUGGCAGCCCUUCUACCCCAUGAGAGCAGAGAACACAUGGAAAGUUACUCUGUCUUUCUGGAGUCAUCUGCCUCUCCCAGAAGAAAUGGUAACUGUUCACAUAUGGCUGAGAGAAGAGGGCCCCAUCCAACCUCUGGCUGCCUCUUCUCUUUGCAUUUCUUUCCCUGAACAUAAAUGCCUGAAAGGUGACCCCAAGGAACGGAUUUCUCUGCGGCAGCUACUUCUGAAAUUCCUGGGUUCUUCAGUCAGUGUUUGCUGUGAUUGGAAGGCAUCCCUGAAUCUACUACCGAGAUUCUUGGAGAGCAUAAUUGCUGAUAAGAGAAUGAGCCCAAGCCCUGGCCAGGCUCACCAGAAGACAUGGACCUGGUGGGAAUCGUUUAGAUAAUGCCGAGUCAAGGUGAAGGUAAAAUGCUGACUCAGAAGCCUCACAAAGUGCCUCACAUUCUGACGUUUUAGAUAUCAGCCUCCCAAAGGGAGAGCGUAAUGGUGAUUAUAAGUUACUGCUUCAUGUCUAAGUCUUUCUGAACGUGCCCUUGUGAGCCUUCUGUGUUUGGAGCGUUCCUUUUGAUUGA